UAGGUAUCUAGCGAAACUACAGCCAAGGGAACGGGCUUGGCAGUACCAGCGGGGAAAGACGACCCUGUUGAGCUUGACUCUAGUUCGUAUAAUGAAAAGACAUGCAGGGUGUAGAAUAGGUGGGAGCGUCAGCGCCAGUGAAAUACCACUACCUUUAUGGUUUUUGACUUAUUCAAUGAAGCGGAACCGAGUGUCACGGCCAAACUUCUGGCAUUAAGGUCCUUUGCGGGCUGAUCCGGGUUGAGGACAUUGUCAGGUGGGGAGUUAUGCUAGGACGGUAUUUCUACCCGCAAAGAUGAGAUUGAGGCCAUCCAUCAAUUUAGCAAAAGAAAAAUUGCCCCUGAAGAAAGUAGAAUCCAUACAAGAAAUAUUUCCUGAGAUUAAUAUAUGUUUUGAAGCUAGGCUGGCGCGUUUUUACGGUUGCAUCUAGAGGAUUGUCCAUGUCAUUUCCAGGUGUCAAAUCAACUUAGGGCGCGCGGUAAGAUUGAUAUGAAUAACAAACAAUUUUAAGGAUAACAGUUGCGUAUCUGAGAUGCAAAAAAUAUAAUCUACAGAAAAUAAAAUACAGGCAAAGCUGUCAUUUAAUACUUUCAAAAUAAAUCGAAGGCGUAUUCUUAGCGCUGAUUGUAUCAUAACACGUGACAUUCAACAUCUGGUGAAAUUAUGAGAAGCACCCAAGUAAACUCGCUCCACCAAAGAAGUUAAAUCCAGACUCGUACCGCUAAGAAAGGAGCUCGCUGAGCCCAGGAAAAUUUAUCAGUGACGAAUGACUGAAUCUUAACUCUGUAGACUCCUCAAUAGAAGCUGGGUGGGGGUAAGUAAAUACAACUGUGUUCAGGAGUGUAUUCGAACCCCAGGGCUGAAAUGCAUUACUAGUGGCUUUAUGUCCCACAUUAACUGCGCCAGCUCCUUAACUUUAAUUUGUUCAUGGCAGCUGGAAAGUCCAAUCCCACUUCCUCCAGUGUCCUCACUCCCUUCAUCCAUGAACAUCGAUCGGAUGAAAUUAUAACCCCUUGAUUCCCCACAAUGAUAAUAUCAACUAGAACUAAGGGUCUGAUGGCGUAGUAGUAUGUCAUCCGGGCAGGUCUUCUAAGUAGAACCUAGAUAGCUUUAAAACCUACCCCCCGUCCCAUUUGAGACAGAAGAUCGCUGCUUCGGAUCCAGCAGACCCUACCUUCUCCUGGAGUGAAAUUUGUGCGUUGAUGGAGGCACGCUUGAACAACCAAAGGUCUUUUGAGACUUUUCCCUCUGGCAGAUAUUCACGGAGGAGAAAUACCGGAGGUAACUAUAUUUAUCUCUCACAGUGGCGUUCGCAAAUACAGUUUAAGUGUAGGUGUUUAAUCAAUCCAUUUCACGCUCAUUUGAUCUCUGGAUUCUGUGUCAUAGAAGUCUGCACCAGUCCGUGCACAACACCACUGCACACCUAAUAUGCAUAUUCAUAGUAUUCUUGAUUAAUUAACUACAACUGCUAUAAUUACA
rnacentral:ncRNA from 1 species